AUGAACGCUGGCGGCGUGCCUAAUACAUGCAAGUCGAGCGAACAGACGAGGAGCUUGCUCCUCUGACGUUAGCGGCGGACGGGUGAGUAACACGUGGAUAACCUACCUAUAAGACUGGGAUAACUUCGGGAAACCGGAGCUAAUACCGGAUAAUAUAUUGAACCGCAUGGUUCAAUAGUGAAAGACGGUUUUGCUGUCACUUAUAGAUGGAUCCGCGCCGCAUUAGCUAGUUGGUAAGGUAACGGCUUACCAAGGCAACGAUGCGUAGCCGACCUGAGAGGGUGAUCGGCCACACUGGAGCUGAGACACGGUCCAGACUCCUACGGGAGGCAGCAGUAGGGAAUCUUCCGCAAUGGGCGAAAGCUUGACGGAGCAACGCCGCGUGAGUGAUGAAGGUCUUCGGAUCGUAAAACUCUGUUAUUAGGGAAGAACAAAUGUGUAAGUAACUAUGCACGUCUUGACGGUACCUAAUCAGAAAGCCACGGCUAACUACGUG
rnacentral:rRNA from 1 species